GGAUCUUGGAUGCAUUUUAAAUUAACUUUCUCUAGGAAUCAAAGAGUAACCUCUGAGGACCCCAGCUUGCAUAGAGGAUUGAGAAAAUGUCUCCAAAGUCUGUUCUUGCUGAGCUGACCCAAACACUUAGAAGAAUAUGACAGAAAUCAACAAUCCCACUUGCUGUAAAAAGUGUAACCGCAACUGACCAUCCACACUGGUGUACAGUCAGGCGAUUGUCCAAGGCAAG